rnacentral:rRNA from 1 species
AACGAACGCUGGCGGCAGGCUUAACACAUGCAAGUCGAGCGCCCCGCAAGGGGAGCGGCAGACGGGUGAGUAACGCGUGGGGAUCUGCAUAGUGGUACGGAACAACACGGGGAAACUCGUGCUAAUACCGUAUAAGUCCUUCGGGAGAAAGAUUUAUCGCAAUGAGAUGAACCCGCGUCUGAUUAGCUAGUUGGUGAGGUAACGGCUCACCAAGGCGACGAUCAGUAGCUGGUCUGAGAGGAUGAUCAGCCACACUGGGACUGAGACACGGCCCAGACUCCUACGCGAGGCAGCAGUGGGGAAUAUUGGACAAUGGGGGCAAGCCUGAUCCAGCCAUGCCGCGUGAGUGAUGAAGGCCUUAGGGUUGUAAAGCUCUUUCGCUAGGGAAGAUAAUGACGGUACCUAGAUAAGAAGCCCCGGCUAACUUCGUGCCAGCCGCCGCAGUAAUAC